CGAGCCCCCGCACUACGAUGGCAUCGAGUGUCUGGCCAUCCAGGGGGACGUCCUGUUCAGUGGCUCCCGGGAUAAUGGCAUCAAGAAGUGGGACCUGGACCAGCAGGGGCUCGUGCAGCAAAUCCCCACGGCGCACAAGGACUGGGUGUGCGCCCUGGCCUUCGUCCCGGGCCGCCCCAUGCUGCUGAGCGCGUGCCGCGCAGGCGUCAUCAAGGUCUGGAACGUCGACAACUUCACGCCCAUCGGCGAGAUCAAGGGCCACGACAGCCCCAUCAAUGCCAUCUGCACCAACGCCAAGCACAUCUUCACCGCCUCCAGUGACCUGACAGUGAAGUUCUGGAGUGCCCGGCGCCUGGUACCCAGCGGCCCCCACUAGGAGUGAGCUCAGAGGACAGCCUGACCCUCGGCCCAGCAGCCGGGAUGCACAGAGGGGAAGCUGGGGCCCGGCGGGGCGGCGCCCGGGGGACAGGGGCUGUGGCCCUCCUGCCCGCCUUCCUCUCCCUGACCUUCCCACGGGAUACUGCCCCCCUCCCUCCCCUGCCUCUUGGGGACAGGGAGGUCCGGGAGUUAAUUAAGCUGUGAAGCCAACGGGCGUUUCCCCUCAUUUCUCUCCCUGCAGCCUGCCCCCGCCCAACCUGUCCCCGUGUUUUCUUGCCGAGCUGGCUGCGCCCUUCCUCCAGCCUUGGCCCGGGGGGCCUGUCUGGGAGGUGGGGCAGCCCUCGCCGUGCCCCUCUGGCCAGCAGGCCUCCCCUACAUCCUCUGGCCAGGCCACUGCACCUGCCUCUGAGCCCAGAAAGAUAGCCCUCAGGUAACCAUGGAAACCAGGUGUAGGCAGCUGGCCCUGCAGCUGACCUUAGCCCCUCGGCCACCAGUGGCCACUCUCCGUGGACCCCAGCAAUUCCUUGGGUCCCUUUCUGAUGGGGCCACGGUGGAUCUUCUAGAAAGAUUCCUUUGGGGAGAUGGUCAGCGUACUUCAAUUAUUUAAUUUAUUUUUUAUUUUUAUUUUUGCUGUUGCCUCCUGGAAACUGACUUGAAGUUUCUUCCCACAAGCUUGUUCCUUCAGCUCUUAGGGGCCAGGAGUCCUGGAGGGGAUCCGCCCCCCCACCCUCCAGGGCCGCCCCCCCAUUUGCUUUGCAGAGGAGGGCGGCGCCCCUUUGACUCUGCAGCCUGGGCCCGUCCCCGACCUCACCCGGGGGCCGCUCUAGUGCCCCCGCCUCCGGCCGCUUGGCGCGUCAGUGCCUUCCUACGCCGGGGCCUGGCACCCGCCCCGGGCAGCCUUACACCAGCCAUGCCCGCAGAGCCACAUGUGUCUUCUCACCCGCGGGGUCUCCUGCCCGCUGUCCCCACUCGCAGAGCCCCAGGUGGACCACACAGGAAGCAGCUCGGAAGACUGUCCACCAUGAAGGGGCUUGGACGGCACACCCGGCCUGGCCCCUCCCCAGUCCCCCUUCAUCUCACCCUGGCCAAGCAGAGCCCCCGGCGUCUUUCCCUGGUUAUUCAGGAGACGCGUUCAAGCCUUAACUGGCACGGGCCAGGGUCUCUCCCUGUAGGGCCAGCGGUGAGGAUGGACUCCACUGAGUUUCUCCUUUCCUUGGGGCUGUGGACUCCCCGCUCCCGGGAUGUUGUUAAAUCCGCAUUCUUUUUCUUUCUUUUUUUUUUUUUUUUUACACACUUUCUCUGAUGCUUAACUGGUCUUGUGCUUCCCGGCCUCACUCAGUCUGAGGGCCGGGAGCCCCAGCUCUGUUCAGAGGACGCAGUGACUUUUGGAUCUUCCGGAGGUGGCCCUGUGCUCUCCCCUCGGUGCCCCUCCCCACGUGGCCAGGGCAGAACUCGCCCUGUCCCCACUGCUCCAAGCUGCACCCCAGCUCAGAAAGCCAUCCUGCUGUGAGGGCCCCCUGCUGGACUUGGGGUCGACAUCGAGGGAGCAGACGUGCAGCAGGGACACGCCCAGAGCUGGGACAGUGUCUUCAGGACUGGAAACCCCUCCUGCUGGGCCAUCCCAGGGGUGCCGGGAGCCCCCUCAGCCGCUCAGAAGUGGGUACAAUUCUCUACUUGGGCCCCAGCCCUCCCCCCACCUCAGCAGAAAGCUUCAACCUUGCCUCCUGUAAGAAAGAAUCUGCAUGACUGUUUACAAACUGUAGAAACACAAAAGACUGGAGGCCUCAGCCUGGGGCCACUGGGCAGCGGCUGCAGGCCUGUCCUUGCACGAGAUGGGCCCUUUGGCCCGCGAGAGGUGCUCAGCGCCCUUGCCCGUUUUCUGCUGUUUCUUAUGGGUCAGCUACCUCAUGGCAGGCUGGCUCUGCUGUCCUGGCGGGAAGCACUGACUCUGAACUUGAGGUCUCGGGAGCCUUUCCCAGCUGUGCUCCAGAGCACUGAAGUCUGCCCGCUCCUUCGGGGAUGGGUUGGUUACCUGGUGGGGGGCCCCCAGUGCCCCCCGAUGCACAAGCAUCCUCAAUGUGGAAGCACAAAAUGGCCGUGAUUUGAGCGCAAGGCGGGGCCGGUGGCAGGCGGCCUGGGCGAACCCGCCAGGAGGCUCCUCCCAGCGGGAGACGGAGGAUGCCCACUUCAGGGUUUGCCCUUGCUCCGACAGGGCUCGGCCCGCAGCCUGUCCUAAUUCCGGGACUCAUCCUACUACUUCUGCCCUGCUGUGCCCACCCAAAGGCUUGAGGCUGGCCCUGCAGGCAGGCCACACUGGAGGGCUGGGGGCCCCGGAGUGGCACCCUUUUUCCCCGACAUCCCAAAUUGUUGAAUGCUCGAUCCCAGGUCCAUCCCAGCCCCACUGACCCAUAUCCUGUUCCGGGGCUGAGCCCCGGGAAAGCUCUCAAAGCUGGCUGCCAAGCUCCCCUGACGGGACCAUCUUCCGGCCACUGCCCAUGGCCUUCUCAGCACGGUCCUGGGGCAGGCCUCUGCUCUCAGCAUUAACCAGGCGAGUGUUUGCUUCCGUCUGCAGGGCGGGCUCCUCCGAGGCACCUGGAGUUGAGUCUGGAGCUCGCCAAGGAGAGAGGAAGGCUGAGAGAGGCCAGCACGCCCGAGCCUUUGAGGCGGUCAGGGUGCCGCCUUGACCCCUUGGGAGGCCAUCUGUGGGUCCAGGCAUGGUCCGGCCCUGCUGCCCGCCAGGGCCCGGGUGGCUUGGGCAGAGAGAGUUUAAAGCACAAACCACCGGAGGGAGGACUGUCACCAGGACUUGCUCACGCCACCCGGUGUGGCAGAGACGCUGGCAGGGCUGCUGUACGCUCGGGGCUUCCUGGCCUCUCCCACCGUUGCGGGGCCUGGCUCCCGGGCAUCCUCUGAAGCGGUCUGGGCCGGGUGCGGGCACACCCCCUGGUCGUUCAUCCCCACGUCGCCCGGUGUGCUGACCACCGUGUUGUGUGGCCAGGGCCUGCCCUGCCAGAGCGCUGAGCUCCUUCCCACCAAGUGGCCCAAACCCAGCGCACCUGUCCCUUUGCACCCCGAGCAGCCAGGGCUUGGCUGCUGCCCCCCACAAUCCCUCCUCUUUUGGCUCCCAAACCCUUCCCAACCCUCUGAUGUGCAAAGAUAGAGUUGACAGGGAAAGUUCUGAUUCUUCUAAGGCAUCUUUGUUCUACUCCCCCUUCCCCAGUGCUCAGAGGAGCUCCCAGCUGCACCACACCCUAGUCCAGCCCUUUGAACUCCUGUCCCGAGGGCCUUGCAGGGAAGCAGGGACAGUUCCGGGAAGAGCCGAGGGUCAGAGAAGACCCCUGCCGUGAAGCCCUGCCCUGCCCACCAGCUCUUUUCUAGCUAUCCCCUGCCCGGGCGCAGGGUUGCAUUUGGUUCAGCUCCUCCACUGGGUGGUAGCACAGGUGUAUAUAUGUUUUGUACGUCUGCUGAUGACUGUACAUAGUGUAUGAAAGUUAUUUAAGCCUCAUGCUGUACAUUUCUGUUCCCGGACCAGAUGUGAGUGUUCUGAGAAGCUGUCAUAAAUAAAACGCGAAUGACCCU